rnacentral:rRNA from 1 species
AUCAUACCAGUACUAAUGCACCGGAUCCCAUCAAAACUCUGCAGUUAAACGUGCUUCGGCGAAAGUAGUACUAGGAUGGGUGACCUCCCUCCCAUUUUAUUUCAUAUAAUGUU